GAUGAACGCUGGCGGCGUGCUUAAUACAUGCAAGUCGAGCGAACAGACGAGGAGCUUGCUCCUCUGACGUUAGCGGCGGACGGGUGAGUAACACGUGGAUAACCUACCUAUAAGACUGGGAUAACUUCGGGAAACCGGAGCUAAUACCGGAUAAUAUAUUGAACCGCAUGGUUCAAUAGUGAAAGACGGUUUUGCUGUCACUUAUAGAUGGAUCCGCGCCGCAUUAGCUAGUUGGUAAGGUAACGGCUUACCAAGGCAACGAUGCGUAGCCGACCUGAGAGGGUGAUCGGCCACACUGGAACUGAGACACGGUCCAGACUCCUACGGGAGGCAGCAGUAGGGAAUCUUCCGCAAUGGGCGAAAGCCUGACGGAGCAACGCCGCGUGAGUGAUGAAGGUUUUCGGAUCGUAAAACUCUGUUAUUAGGGAAGAACAAAUGUGUAAGUAACUAUGCACGUCUUGACGGUACCUAAUCAGAAAGCCACGGCUAACUACGUG
rnacentral:rRNA from 1 species